UACGUAGGGUGCGAGCGUUGUCCGGAAUUCUUGGGCGUAAAGAGCUUGUAGGCGGUUUGUCGCGUCUGCUGUGAAAAUCCGGGGCUCAACCCCGGACUUGCAGUGGGUACGGGCAGACUAGAGUGUGGUAGGGGAGACUGGAAUUCCUGGUGUAGCGGUGAAAUGCGCAGAUAUCAGGAGGAACACCGAUGGCGAAGGCAGGUUUCUGGGCCACUACUGACGCUGAGAAGCGAAAGCAUGGGGAGCGAACAGG
rnacentral:rRNA from 1 species